AUUGAACGCUGGCGGUAUGCUUAACACAUGCAAGUCGAACGGUAACAGAUCUAGCUUGCUAGAUGCUGACGAGUGGCGGACGGGUGAGUAAUGCGUAGGUAUCUACCUUAUAGCGGGGGAUAACUUGGGGAAACUCAAGCUAAUACCGCAUGUGCCCUACGGGGUAAAGCAGGGGACCGCAAGGCCUUGCACUAUAAGAUGAACCUGCGUCGGAUUAGCUAGUUGGUGGGGUAAAGGCCUACCAAGGCGAUGAUCCGUAGCUGUUCUGAGAGGAAGAUCAGCCACACUGGGACUGAGACACGGCCCAG
rnacentral:rRNA from 1 species